GAGGGUAUAGCUCAGUGGUAGAGUGUGUGCUUAGCAUGCAUGAGUUCCUGGGUUCAAUCCCCAAUACCUCUA
rnacentral:tRNA from 1 species